AAGCACCUCAAGUGGUCAGGAUGCUUAUUGGGCCUAAAGCAUCCGUAGCCGGCGCUGUAAGUUUUCGGUUAAAUCUGUACGCUCAACGUACAGGCUGCCGGGAAUACUGCAGCGCUAGGGAGUGGGAGAGGUAGACGGUACUCGGUAGGAAGGGGUAAAAUCCUUUGAUCUAUUGAUGACCACCUGUGGCGAAGGCGGUCUACCAGAACACGUCCGACGGUGAGGGAUGAAAGCUGGGGGAGCAAACCGGAUUAGAGACCCGCGUAGUCC
rnacentral:rRNA from 1 species